rnacentral:misc_RNA from 1 species
GAUGAAGAACGUAGCGAAAUGCGAUAAGUAAUGUGAAUUGCAGAAUUCAGUGAAUCAUCGAAUCUUUGAACGCACAUUGCGCCCCCUGGUAUUCCGGGGGGCAUGCCUGUUCGAGCGUCAUUUCACCACUCAAGCCUCGCUUGGUAUUGGGCAACGCGGUCCGCCGCGUGCCUCAAAUCGACCGGCUGGGUCUUCUAUCCCCUAAGCGUUGUGGAAACUAUUCGCUAAAGGGUGCUCGGGAGGCUACGCCGUAAAACAAACCCAUUUCUAAGGUUGACCUCGGAUCAGGUAGGGAUACCCGCUGAACUUAAGCAUAUCAAUAAGCGGAGGA